CCUACGGGAGGCAGCAGUGGGGGAUAUUGCACAAUGGGGGGAACCCUGAUGCAGCGACGCCGCGUGGGUGAAGGAGCGUUUCGGCGCGUAAAGCCCUAUCGGCAGGGAAGAAGGAGGACGGUACCUGACUAAGAAGCCCCGGCUAACUACGUGCCAGCAGCCGCGGUAAUACGUAGGGGGCAAGCGUUAUCCGGAUUUAUUGGGUUUAAAGGGUGCGUAGGCGGACGCUUAAGUCAGCGGUAAAAUUGCGGGGCUCAACCUCGUCGAGCCGUUGAAACUGGGUGCCUUGAGUGGGCGAGAAGUACGCGGAAUGCGUGGUGUAGCGGUGAAAUGCAUAGAUAUCACGCAGAACUCCGAUUGCGAAGGCAGCAUACCGGCGCCCGACUGACGCUGAGGCACGAAAGCGUGGGUAUCGAACAGGAUUAGAUACCCCUGUAGUC
rnacentral:rRNA from 1 species